rnacentral:rRNA from 1 species
UACGGAGGGGGCUAGCGUUUUUCGGAAUUACUGGGCGUAAAGCGCGCGUAGGCGGACCAGUAAGUCGGGGGUGAAAGCCCAGGGCUCAACUCUGGAACUGCCUUCGAUACUGCGGGUCUGGAGCAUGAUAGAGGCGAGUGGAAUUCCGAGUGUAGAGGUGAAAUUCGUAGAUAUUAGCAGGAACACCAGUGGCGAAGGCGACUCGCUGGACCAUUGCUGACGCUGAGACGCGAAAGCGUGGGGAGCAAACAGG